UACGUAGGGUGCAAGCGUUGUCCGGAAUUAUUGGGCGUAAAGAGCUCGUAGGCGGUCUGUCGCGUCUGCUGUGAAAACUCGGGGCUUAACCCCGGGCCUGCAGUGGGUACGGGCAGACUAGAGUGCGGUAGGGGAGACUGGAAUUCCUGGUGUAGCGGUGAAAUGCGCAGAUAUCAGGAGGAACACCGGUGGCGAAGGCGGGUCGUCUGGGCCGUAACUGACGCUGAGGAGCGAAAGCGUGGGUAGCGAACAGG
rnacentral:rRNA from 1 species